rnacentral:rRNA from 1 species
UACAGAGGUGCCGAGCGUUAGGCGGAAUCACUGGGCUUAAAGCGUGUGUAGGCGGACCGUUAAGUACCUUGUGAAAUCCCACGGCUCAACCGUGGAACGGCUGGGUAUACUGGCGGUCUUGGGCCACCUAGGGGUCAUCGGAACAGGCGGUGGAGCGGUGAAAUGCGUAGAUAUCGCUUGGAACGCCGAAGGUGAAAACAGGCUGCUGGGGUUGUGCCGACGCUGAGGAGCGAAAGCGUGGGAGCGAACAGG